GAUGAAACAUGCUGGAAGAACACUGAACAAUCUCAUGGAUGAAUCCACCUUCCUCCACUGCCCUCCACCUGCUUAGAAAAAAACAUUCAGCACACCAAUUUCACCAUUACAGCUGAACUGUAGGCUGUUGCAGAUACUUUGAGCCUUGAGGGAGUCCCAAAGGAGGACCAGUUUUUGACCAGAGGAGGAUGGGUCCCCCCUUUUGAGCCAUGGUUCCUCCUAAGGUUUCUUCCUCCACCUUUGAGGGAGUUUUUCCUUUCCUCUGUUGCCUCUGGAUUGCUCACUGGGGGUGUUCAUUUUUGUUUUUUAAUAAAAAACAAACAAACAAAAGAA